rnacentral:rRNA from 1 species
AGAGUUUGAUCCUGGCUCAGAUUGAACGCUGGCGGCAUGCCUUACACAUGCAAGUCGAACGGUAACAGGUCUUCGGAUGGUGGCGAGUGGCGAACGGGUGAGUAAUACAUCGGAACGUGCCCAAUCGUGGGGAUAACGUAGCGAAAGUUACGCUAAUACCGCAUACGAUCUACGGAUGAAAGCGGGGGAUCGCAAGACCUCGCGCGAAUGGAGCGGCCGAUGUCAGAUUAGGUAGUUGGUGGGUAAAGGCUCACCAAGCCGACGAUCUGUAGCUGGUCUGAGAGGACGACCAGCCACACUGGGACUGAGACACGGCCCAGACUCCUACGGGAGGCAGCAGUGGGGAAUUUUGGACAAUUGGCGCAAGCCUGAUCCAGCCAUUCCGCGUGCAGGAUGAAGGCCUUCGGGUUGUAAACUGCUUUUGUACGGAACGAAACGGUUCUCUCUAAUACAGGGGGCUAAUGACGGUACCGUAAGAAUAAGCACCGGCUAACUACGUG